AUUGAACGCUGGCGGCAGGCCUAACACAUGCAAGUCGAGCGGCAGCGGGAAAGUAGCUUGCUACUUUUGCCGGCGAGCGGCGGACGGGUGAGUAAUGCCUGGGGAUCUGCCCAGUCGAGGGGGAUAACUACUGGAAACGGUAGCUAAUACCGCAUACGCCCUACGGGGGAAAGCAGGGGACCUUCGGGCCUUGCGCGAUUGGAUGAACCCAGGUGGGAUUAGCUAGUUGGUGAGGUAACGGCUCACCAAGGCGACGAUCCCUAGCUGGUCUGAGAGAUGGAGCAGCCACACUGGAACUGAGAAACGGUCCAGAAUCCUACGGGAGGCAGCAGUGGGGAAUAUUGCACAAUGGGGGAAACCCUGAUGCAGCCAUGCCGCGUGUGCGAAGAAGGCCUUCGGGUUGCAAAGCACUUUCAGCGAGGAGGAAAGGUUGGUAGCUAAUAACUGCCAGCUGUGACGUUACUCGCAGAAGAAGCACCGGCUAACUCCGUGCCAGCAGCCGCCGUAAUAC
rnacentral:rRNA from 1 species